CAUAUGCAAAUGUAUUUGUGUUUGUUAUCUAGUUUUUAAGGAACAAACAAUUAGCAAUCUUUAUAGAAUGAGUGACAGAAGAGUAAAUAGAGGCUACCAUGUCUCAUCAUUUGCCAUCUCAACAAAUAGGUUUGUUGACUAAAUCCAACUUGGUUUAUGUUCUUCACUAAUUUCUCUGGAUGAACUACAAGUUAGGGACGAUGGAAGAUGCAAAAUUAAGCUACAAACAAACCCCACAUUCAUUUUUUUUCUACUAUUUUUUUUUUCCUUUUGUUUUCUUAACAUCUUCUUAUAUAAUAAAUUUACACAUUCUUCCAGUCUUCUCAACAAGAGAUUCACCCUCCUUUUCUUUUCUUUUCUUUUCAUUUGUUGCUUUAGUCUUCACUUCUAAACCUUGUCAUCUAUGGAUUAUUUAAAUAGGGUACAAUAAUAGUUCCCCAGUUAUUUAUAUAUGAGCAAGUUUGCAUUCCAAGAGUAGAACAUCAACAGCAUAUUUCACUUAAAACUUUGAGGUGUGUUCUUUUGUUCCCUUUUUCAAUUUUUCAUACAAAUUGCUUCUGCACUUUCCUUGUUAAUGUAAUUACUAUAUUAAAUCAGCAUAUCACAGUAGUUUGUGUGUAAUAUAGAACACUUAACCUUCACCCUUCCCAGAUUUUUUUUAACAAAGAAACAUAUAUAAAUUAAAGCUGUUCAAAGAAAUAACUAAAAGAAGAACCACUUAAAUAUCUUUAAUCUAACACUCCUCUAUUCUGUUUUAAUCUCAUAUGUUCUUUCCAGUUUUUUUCUUCUCUAGCUUUCAGAUUUUUCCAUGUAUUCUUUUGGGUUAAUAGUAAAUAAACAGUGGUUGCCAAUAUUCCUUGUUUGAUCAUUAUAUUCAUUUUAACACUGUUUUUUCCAGUUUUUUAAAAAUAUAUUUGAUUUUGUUUCUGUUACUAAACAAGAGCAUUCAUCUUCAACCUUGAUUACUAAUAUUGCAGUAGGUUUUUUUUUAAGAUUUGGUUUACUAUUAGUGAAAACAUUUUACAUCAUCAAUUAACAAAUAAGAAAGCAUAGCAUCACUAUGCUAGGUGUUUCACUUGCAUUAAACUCUUUGUAGUUUCUUAUAUAAGCAGCAUAUCUUAGUGUAAAGAUUCAUUAGUUAGCAGUAAUAUCAAAAUUAAUUUCUAAUACGCACACAUACAUAUUCAUCCUUCUUUAAUUAACUAAAUAUCAUAAAUGCAUCUUCAUCUUUUCAAGUAGGGCAGAAUCACUGUUCAUCUUCCACCUUUUGGCUGUUGGCUUAGUGUCUAGUUGUUUUCUUGGUUUAAAAUCAUCUUAUUCAGUUUAGCUUUCACUCAUUAGUUACAUUCCUCUUAAACCUUGAUUACUACAGUUGCAAUAAAUAGCAGUUUUAAAAUUUGAUUUGCUGCCAGUAUGGUCAGAUCAAUGUAUUAAAUAGAGCUUUUCACUUCCUUUAAACUUUUAAUAAUUUCUAAGUAGAUGAUGCAACAUAGUUCAUUCAAUAAGUUAACUUCUUAAAUGAAUUUUAAUAUAUUAAACUAUAUCUAUUCUUGAUCCUUAUACACUAGAAUUAUCAAAUGAGCUUUUACAGCUAUGACUUGUAUAUCAAAACUAGAUUCUAAUAUACAAUAGUGAAGGUAGUUUGGUAGAAGAAUGCUGCUACUAAAUUUCACAAUUCAUAUUCCCCCUGUUAACAUGAUAAUGGAUAGUGCCUAACACAUUCAAUUGUUCAAUUGUUGUUGUUGUUGCAGCUUCAUGUAUCACAAACAAUUGUGAUCAACAUAACUCAUAUUACUUGUUUAAAAUUUUCUGGGUGGUGAAAAGGUAGAAGGGAAAAUGGGGAAGGAUGGAUCACCAAAACAUCAUAGUCCGUUUGAUUCAAAGAGAAACCGUCUGACAUGGAUUUUAGGGGUUAGUGGGCUAUGCAUUUUAUCAUACAUAAUGGGUGCAUGGAGGAACACUCCAUCACCCAAUAGCCAAUCUGAGAUCUACUCCAAAGUAGACUGUAAUGUUGCGUCAAAUUCACCAGGCAUGGCAUCUUCAGCAGUUCAAUCAUCAACAAACUUAGACUUUGCAAGUCACCAUCAAAUUGAUAUCAAUAAUUCUGGAGGGACACAAGAGUUUCCACCAUGUAACAUAUCCCUCAGUGAAUACACUCCAUGCCAAGAUCGAGAUAGGGGUCGCAGAUAUGACCGUAACAUGUUGAAGUAUAGGGAGAGGCAUUGCCCCAGCAAGGAGGAACAACUAUAUUGCCUUAUACCUGCUCCACCAAAAUAUAAGCCACCUUUCAAAUGGCCUCAAAGCAGAGACUAUGCUUGGUAUAACAAUAUUCCACACAAAGAGCUUAGCAUUGAGAAAGCCAUUCAAAACUGGAUUCAAGUUGAAGGUGACAGAUUCAGAUUCCCUGGAGGAGGUACCAUGUUUCCACGUGGAGCUGAUGCAUACAUUGAUGACAUCAAUGAGCUCAUUCCCCUCACUACUGGUACUAUCAGAACUGCAAUUGAUACUGGGUGUGGUGUAAGUUGCUCUAUCUUAAUCCCAAACCUCACCACUAAAACAAAUCUAUCUUCACUUAUGUUUAUGGCUCUAUUUAUUUCUUUAGUCCAAUUUCUAUUUAAGGUGACUAAUAGAUAAAGUUCACAAAUUUAUUAUCAUCAUAUCAAUAUCUGAUUCGAUUAUACUGUAAAAAUCUGUACUCUCUGUAUGCUAUUUACUUUUGUUUAUUGAAGUGUAUUUGUUGUAACCUAGUGUUUGCAUCUUUGGGUAGUUGAUUUUAAUAGAUGUUUACCAAAUUCAACUUAAACCUUAGGAUGUGUUGCUUGUACUUAAUUCAUUCUUUCACAUGUAAUUGUAAAGGUUGCAAGUUGGGGUGCUUACCUUUUGAAAAGGGACAUCAUAGCUAUGUCCUUUGCACCAAGAGAUACACAUGAAGCUCAGGUCCAGUUUGCAUUGGAAAGAGGAGUUCCAGCAAUGAUAGGUGUCAUGGCUUCACAGAGAACUCCUUACCCAGCAAGGGCGUUUGAUAUGGCUCAUUGUUCUCG
rnacentral:lncRNA from 1 species